rnacentral:lncRNA from 1 species
GAACUCAAAUCGGCCACCAAUGGCUUUAGCCGCCAUUGGUGUUCAUCCUCCUCCAACCGGUCAUCAACACAGGAUACAAAGUAAGAAUCCCACGGGUUUCUGUCUCAUUCACCAUCCGCCUAUCCAAGAAAAGGGGAUGAAAACCAGAAAUCAAGCCAAGCGAAAGCGUCAACCAUAUGGUAUCGUUUUACCAUCACUAUGUUAGAAUUUACAUCCUUGUUAAUGUUACUGUAUUUUUCUAGUAGCUACGUUUCUCGUUUUCGUAAUAUACACAUGAAUUUGCAGUUUGAUUUUCUGAAUACUGAAAGCUCUAGGCACCUUGUAUUUGGUUUGCUUGAGCUCCUUAUAGGAAAAUGUUACAGCACCCGUCCAUUUUAUUUCUAAAAGUUGAUCGAUUUGAAAAACAAACGGCGUACUUUUUAAAUUCUACCUUUUGAGAAGGAAAAGAAAAUAGAAAAAUGUUGAUGAAAGUUUCUCGCAUUUGAAUUCUAGCUCUGUUAUGCUUGAAAAAAUAACAUUGGUACCCUAGAUUUUGUGUAUCCAGGAAAUAAGUAUGCCAUAAACCAGAUUCAAGAAUGUUAUUGGAAUGCUAAAACUGUUGGGAUACCAAUUAGUUCUAUUCCCUUUGAUUCAAGAUUUUAGAUGACAUCAUUCACCUACCUCUCCAUGAACAUCAAUGAUUCGGUUUCCGGUGUAUAUGUGAAUAAAAAUGAUUUCUUGACUUCAAAAGCACACACCCAAGCACUUAUGUAUAGUCAAGGGGUCUCUUUGGUAAAACCAUGUGAUGAUGAAGGACUGAAUGAAAUCCUUUGCUUUACAUUUUUCAAGUCAAGAUGACACGAAUAAGGAAGCUGGAGAUGAUCCAAAAGCAAAUGGUAAUGUUUUUGUCACUUAGUGUUUCAUCACCACAUUGUUUAUACACUUGCAAUUGUUCAUGAUCUAAAAACAUCUUAAAAGCAUAUUUGACUCUUUUAUAUAAUUACAUGUCUAGCAUAAAUAUUUAUAAACAAUGGAAUAAAUAAAUCAAGAAAAAAAUGCAUAAUUAAGCUAAUUCUAUUAGAAUAACAUUCUUACCUUAUCAUCGGGUGCUAUCUUCAUCUUCAACUGUUUCAUUCUUUAAGAAUUUUUGCAUCUAAGUUAUUCUUCUACUUGAAUAAUGUGUAAACAAUAUUAUAUUCUUGCAAAAUCACAUAAAAAUGAUUAUGGUAGAAUCACAUAAGAAUGAUUUUACCGGGAUUCUAUUGCAGCUGGCUUUCAAGAAAUGCAAUUCUAAUAGAAUGACAAUUCUGAUAGAAUGUUAAUUAUUUAUAUGUAUAAUGUGCAGUUGUUACAAGUGUAUCACUACAAAAUAUUUGGCAAUGAAUUUGUGAUAGAAAUGGUUUGAAGACCUGAUAGGAAAGGCUUGAAGAAUAAAUCAAAGAAUGAUCACACUCACUGUUUAAGAAUGUUGUUAUUUCUAAGAAUUACACUUGUUAUUCUUUCAAAAUGUUGUUAUUAUUCAAUGAAUCACAAUCAUACAAUAUAAUUAUUUGGUAUAUUAUUAGUUCAAAAGUCGAUUUUGUGUAUUCUUUCAGAAUGUAUUUACUACUUUAUGGUUGGCAUUCUGUCAUUCUGACAGAAUAAAAUCGAAAAUAUAUUUACUAGUUUAUGAUUGACAUUCUGUCAUUCUCACAGAAUAAAAUAGAAUUUUUAAAUUUUAAUUAAUUUAAAAUAUUCAGAAUGUUAAAAAUAAAGGAAUUAAUUAUCCCUAAAAAUCCGAAAAUUUCUUUUUUUGAAUAUAGGUUAAUUGACUAAAAUACCCUUAUGCUGAAAUUUGUGUGAUUAUAGGUACAUGUUAUCGUAUUCUAAUAUCAUAGACCCUCAGAUCAUGACCUUUGUAUCUAUUCCAACCGGUGGUCUAG